GACGUAGGGCGCGAGCGUUGUCCGGAUUUAUUGGGCGUAAAGAGCUCGUAGGCGGCUUGUUGCGUCGACUGUGAAAACCCGCGGCUUAACUGCGGGCUUGCAGUUGAUACGGGCAGGCUAGAGUUCGGUAGGGGAGACUGGAAUUCCUGGUGUAGCGGUGAAAUGCGUAGAUAUCGAGAGGAACACCUGCGGCGAAGGCGGGUUGCUGGGCUGACACUGACGCUGAUGCGCGAAAGCUAGGGGAGCGAACGGG
rnacentral:rRNA from 1 species